GCGGAUAUAGCAUAAUUGGUAAUGCACUAGCUUCCCACGCUAGGUAGUAUGGGUUCGAGUCCCAUUAUCCGCU
rnacentral:tRNA from 1 species